CUACGGGGUGCAGCAGUGGGGAAUAUUGCACAAUGGGCGCAAGCCUGAUGCAGCAACGCCGCGUGAGGGAUGAAGGCCUUCGGGUUGUAAACCUCUUUUAGCAGGGAAGAAGCGAAAGUGACGGUACCUGCAGAAAAAGCACCGGCUAACUACGUGCCAGCAGCCGGGGUAAUACGUAGGGUGCAAGCGUUGUCCGGAAUUAUUGGGCGUAAAGAGCUCGUAGGCGGUUUGUCACGUCUGCUGUGAAAAUCCAAGGCUCAACCUUGGACUUGCAGUGGGUACGGGCAGGCUAGAGUGCGGUAGGGGAGAUGGGAAUUCCUGGUGUAGCGGUGGAAUGCGCAGAUAUCAGGAGGAACACCAAUGGCGAAGGCACAUCUCUGGGCCGUAACUGACGCUGAGGAGCGAAAGCGUGGGGAGCGAACAGGAUUAGAUACCCGUGUAGUC
rnacentral:rRNA from 1 species